GGAGUGUGUGUGUGUGUGUGUGUGUGUGUGUGUGUGUGUGUGUGUGUGCGCGCGCGCGUGCACGCACAUAAGCACGCUCACAUG
rnacentral:pre_miRNA from 10 species